CCCUUGUCCUCGGGGGGCUGGGGAGGGGGGGGGGCUCGGCGGCCGAGGGAUUUCCUCCCCCCUAUUGUUCUCGUCCCUCUGCGCCCCCGUUCAUCUCCCCUCACGCUGGGGCGGGGGGCGGGCGGGGGGACCCCCCCCACUCCUGCCGUUACAUGGUGAGGUGGAGCCGCCGCCAGCACCCAGAGAAUGGUGAAUAACACUGAAGACCCUCAAGAGGCUUUAUAACGUCCCAUCCCCAUGUAAAGUAUGCUCAGAACUUUUCCAGUAGUUCUGCUGGAAACCAUGUCUCACUACACAGACGAACCAAGAUUUACCAUAGAGCAGAUAGACCUUCUUCAGCGCCUGAGACGUACAGGAAUGACCAGACAUGAAAUUCUCCACGCGCUGGAAACCUUGGAUCGUCUUGAUCAAGAGCAUAGCGACAAAUUUGGAAGAAGGUCUAGCUAUGGAGGUGGCUCCUACAGCAACAGUACCAACAAUGUUCCAGCAUCUUCCUCUACAGCCACAGCUUCAACACAGACCCAGCAUUCUGGGAUGUCCCCGUCACCGAGCAACAGUUACGACACCUCCCCACAGCCUUGCACUACUAAUCAGAACGGGAGGGAGAGUAACGAGAGGUUGUCUGCAUUCAACGGGAAGAUGUCACCUACCCGCUACCCGCUUGCAAACAGCUUGGCUCAAAGGUCAUACAGUUUUGAAGCUUCGGAAGAGGAUUUGGACAUUGAUGACAAAGUGGAGGAGCUGAUGAGGAGGGACAGCAGUGUGAUAAAGGAGGAAAUCAAAGCCUUCCUAGCCAAUCGGAGAAUUUCCCAAGCAGUUGUUGCACAGGUAACAGGUAUCAGUCAGAGCCGGAUCUCCCACUGGCUGUUGCAGCAGGGGUCGGACCUGAGUGAACAAAAGAAAAGGGCAUUUUACAGAUGGUACCAGCUUGAGAAGACAAAUCCUGGGGCUACGUUAAGCAUGAGACCCGCUCCUAUCCCAAUAGAAGAGCCAGAAUGGAGACAGACGCCUCCCCCAGUCACAGCUACCUCUGGGACCUUCAGACUACGGCGAGGCAGUCGGUUCACAUGGAGAAAGGAGUGCCUGGCUGUUAUGGAAAGUUACUUCAAUGAGAAUCAAUAUCCAGAUGAGGCAAAGAGAGAAGAAAUUGCAAACGCCUGUAAUGCAGUCAUACAAAAGCCAGGAAAAAAGUUAUCGGAUUUGGAGCGAGUUACCUCCCUUAAAGUGUACAAUUGGUUUGCCAACAGAAGAAAGGAAAUCAAGAGAAGAGCCAAUAUCGAAGCAGCAAUCCUGGAGAGCCAUGGAAUAGAUGUACAGAGUCCGGGAGGUCAUUCCAACAGCGACGACGUUGAUGGCAAUGACUACUCAGAGCAGGACACUUGGCAAGUACGCAAUGGGGAGGAGGAGGGAAGAUGUUCAGAGGGAGGCAGAGAAGCAGAGAAGGUAGAAGAAGACAGGAGGAUCUGCUCCAAACAAGCAAGUUACACCAUUCACGCCACACGCAAUGAUGACAGCACUAGCCAUAGUGACCAUCAAGACCCCAUUUCAUUAGCCGUGGAAAUGGCAGCGGUAAACCACACCAUCUUGGCAUUGGCCCGGCAAGGAGCCAACGAGAUCAAGACAGAGGCUCUAGACGACGACUGAUACAAAGAAAGGGGAGGGAAAGCAAGAAGUAACUUAGUUUUAGACGUAGCACCUUAGCAGACUUUCCUCGGUCCUUAAUAUGUGUUCUUACAGUAUAACUUUGCAGUUUCUUGUACGUCAGUUAGCUGUUAGGGUCUUGUUCUGUGAAGAUGGCAUGGUGCCCUCAGCCUUUGCAUAUACUCUCUCAGUAUUAAUUCCCAAUAAAUAAUCAAUCAACCAACCAACCUCCCUCUCCCAGCCCCAGUGGCUAGAAAAAUCUUGCUGCUCUGUCUUAGCAUUCAAAGUGCUUCCAGGUAUUUUAGACAGCCCUCAAUUACAAGUCUUAGGCUACACUUAAAAUCUUGGAUACCCUUAGAGAUUGUGUUAAAAAAAUAGUCUGUACGCUUUUCCUUCUCUGAGACUGAAAGGAUGCAAGCUGAGGUAGUGGCACAGGGUCGAUGGACACCAGAUCGGGAGUAUCAGCAGAGAGUAAAAAGAACACUAGAAACCCCACUUCAGCAUGGGAAUAAAUGAUUUCCAGCUGCAAUAAGCCGUGCCUCACUGGUCAUACAGUGACUUGAUAUACUUUUGGGUGCUGUGCUGAGAAUGUCCAUUGGAAACACAUUCACAUAUUUCGGUUGAUGUUCACAUAUUCAACACAGACAUCCUCUACUCUCACAAGCUGCGUGGCUUAGUGGAUAAGCACUGCCUUCUGCCUCUGGGACCAUGAUUGAAGCCCAGCCUGGGAUCAUAUGAAAAAUGAGCUGAAUGUCUAAUGGACAGCAGUCCACUUCUCAAAACCACUAUUCAUUAUUUGGCAUGGCUAGCAGUGCCUGCUCAGAAGAGGUCUAGACUCUUAUCGAUCUGUCAUUAACAAUUUCACCUUUUAUUCUUCCUCUCGCCUUUUCUGUCCCCACCCUCCUCCCCUUUCCACUUUGCCACUUUCAAAAGCGAUGUUUUCCUGGAAGGUAUUAAGGUCAUAAAAUGGGUGAGUGGAUUUACACUUCUGUGUAACUAAUGCCUAUGUCCUGACUAGCCUGAAAGGUUAUUGGAGAACUUUUGCAUCUGACCUUUGCUAGGUAACCAUCAUAGCAUAAAUACUCUCCUAAAUACAAACUUUUUUUUGUUUGUUUAAAGGCAGGAGGAUCUCUUACCUGAGAAAUGGGGUGUGAAUGUUUUGUGUUCUCUUUACUCUGUCCUUGUUAAGAUGUGAGAAAGCUAUACUGCUACGAGCAAUUUAAUUAAUAAUUGGAAGCCAUACUGAUAAUGGAUGUGGUAAUAUUUGUAAAGCAAACCUACUUUAAGUAGCAGAAACUAAUGGAAUUGUUUUCCUUGAUCAUAUGUAGCACUUUUGUUACUUUUUUCUUAAAGAUAUUUAUAUUUGAUAAGUCUUUUUUUUAUCAUUUGAGAAUUCAAAAUACCAAACAGCAAACUUGCAUUACAGAGUCACCCUGCGAUCACCUUGUCAUCUAGUAUCUAAAUGAUGAACUGUGUGUGCAUCUAAGAAAAUUACAUCUGCUAGCAUUGUGUGGAAAUGAUCUCCUGGCAUCCUGAUAAAAUGAUAUGUUGCUGCUGAUGUCAUCUUGAGACUUGCGCUGGGCUGAAGCUUGUGACCUGUUUCUACUUGCUGUGGGGUCAGAGCCCUGUUUGCUCUUCCGGGAAGGACAGAUUGUCCGUUUCAUCACCCGUCGCGAUACAAACUCAAAACCCCUUUCGCCUUGCUCUUGGCUCUGGCUGUACCGUUGGUAACGCCUGUCCGAAUCUCGUCAGGAGCCGACCCUCCUUCUUCUUCUGCCAGCAUUGUCCUCGAGGGUUAGGGGCAGCACGUCCCACACCGGUGCGAGCGCCCGGCGCGCUGCUGCUGGCUGGAACUGGGAGAGCACCCAGGUGUCAGACCCGAUAGGAUAAAGCGAUGUCGUCGUGCCACAGAGCCGCCGUAAGACAGGCUUUUCCCUUACAGAUAGUAGAGGAAUAACAAAUUUAAACUAGAUGUAGUUCAAUAGCAGUUCUAUCAAAGGGUGACAAAUAAAAGUCAGUUGUGUCCAUGGGGAGCACUAUUUUCUUGACAAAUCGCCUUGGCUGUCUCCCUCUUGGUCUUUAGGAUCUUCCCAAGGCUGACGAAAGCCCGGGAAGUGUGAAAUAUGUGCAGUACGUUUUUAAUUUUUUUUUUUUUUUUUUUUCUUAGUGUCAAUUUAAAAAGUGCCUAAGUGAGUAACAGGACUCCAGAGUGAGCUGGAGGAACAGGAUUAGACCUCAUUUCCCUCUUAAGAAAAGAGCCCUCCCUGCAGUCCCUCCGCACGCGCGACUCCAGGCGGGCGGUGGGAGCCCGGAGCCCCGCGGAAUCCGGUUGGAAAGAAAUUUCCACUCCUUCCUCAUGCUGCCCCCCUCGGGUCUCAGUCUGUGGGUGGGGAUCUCCUUACCGAAUCUCAUUUCUCAGCCAAACCUUAGCAAUCUCUGAUUUGGGGUGGGAUAGUAAAGAGGGGGGGGGAAGCUUGGAUAGAAUUCAGUCGGAAACUGCCUCUUGGAUUGCAGAUACAAAUAGCUUUGUGCAUUGAACAUGCACCUCUGGAUAACCACAUGUGUGAGACUCUGCAUCAGAAAAGCUAAUAUGCAUAUUUAAUCGCCCCUUUUUGGAAUCACAGGCAGUUUCUUCCUAUAUUCUUAAUUAUUUCUAGGCUUGUAAUAGUGGCACCUGCUAAACAUUUUGUCAAAGUAAUUGUAACUGUUGGCAGGUGGUUAUAAUUUUAUAAACAUACAUGAGAAUUUUAUGUGGGUUUGAAAAGAAAAAAAGAUAGAUAUCAAUGCUAGUAUAAAAAAUGGCAUUAAAGGAGAAUUUCUUCUGACCAUAGUAAAAGGAAAUAACAGAACACUAUUAAGAUGGAUUAGUACCACUUAAGGAUUCAGAAAAUGAAAGCAAUCCAUAUGUAGAUGUUUUAUUUUUCAUUAGUAACAAAAUCUUGUUUUCACUCUGACAACUUAAUAACGUAUGAGUUGGGAAAGCCUAGGAAAUGACUAUUGGCAAGAAAAGCUAUAAGGACAUCUCUUUUGCAGAGAACAGAAAAUUAGCUUGUAGGAUGUUGAUGGGUGUUGAUAUAAGCAAUGAUCAAAUAGGAAUCUAUUGCUGGGGUACUAAUGAAAAUAAAGUAUUUGUGGAGCCUAUAAUACACGUGGACCGUUCGACGUUGUACUGUCGCCCUGCUCUAGAGAUGCCUUUUUUAACAGUGAAUUUUUUUUUUUUUUUCCCCCCCUAAACCAAGUGAUUGUCGAUAGCAGUGGUUGUAAUUGAAACAAAGAUUAAUGUAGUAGUGAGUGUUGCAAACCUAGAAGUGAAAAGACAGUGGAACGGCAUCAGAGGCACCA